AGGAUAAAUUGUUCAAUAACGGAUUAUCCCCGCUGACGAAAGCGCCAUUUUCGACCAUCGUCACGCCUUUUGUCUGCAGAAAAUUAAGGCUGUACCUUCAUUUAAGCGUCAGGUGGAUGUUUUUGCUCUUAUUUCGAUCAAUGAAUAAACGGGAAAAC
rfam:Shigella dysenteriae Sd197, complete genome.